AUGAUGCUUCUUUGUGCGGCAGGAGGACUCGUAUGUCACCGCCCGGAGGAGCGGAGCGGAGCGAUUGGCCGGGUGAAUUAUCUGCCUUGUUGCAGUGAAUUAUUUGCGCUGUUUCCUUUCCCAGUCAACAAGUUUCUGAGCUUGACUUUGAAUUUCCUUAAGUGCCAGAGCGAGGAUACGGUGCUGGGUAAUGCAUUGCCAUGCACUAUAUUUAGAAAGCAGCUGGAAGAGAAGAUGUCCUCAGGAAUCCGGACUGUUUUGUUGUACUUGUCCCUCCCGUCCCGGCCCUGUAACGCAAACGCUCCUUCUGCAGAGGUGUGGGUCGCUGCUGGGAGCUGGGCAAGGACGGGCUCUGCUGGACCCGCGGCUCUCCUCGGCACCUCAGCAAUGUCCAGGGCAGCCAGAGGUGCCGUGGCCAGGGCAGCCUGGCUUUCCCUCCUUUCGCCCGGGCAGCCGCAGGUUGCCCCCAUUGUUCCUGCCGGGUGCCCCAGCCGCGGGCUCAGUGCCCGUUUCGGCGGACAGCGCUCCCCGCCGGGCCGGGCACCGACGGCGCCCUCGGACCCGCUGCCCGCUCCCCCAAGCACUGAGGGGGAUGCUAAACGAGAUCCUGUCCGCUGGAGCCUGGCCCUUCGGGGAUGGGACAGGGCUCCCUGGGGACACCGUGCCGAGGGAACGUCCCCGCCUGGCUGUGAUCCAGGGCGGGAGCCCCAGCGGCACCGAACAGCGCCGGGACAGCCCCGGGGACCCCGAGCCCCGACGGUCGCUCGUCAUGCCGGGCCCCGCGGGUGCUCCGGGCCGGGCAGCUCUGCCCGCUCCCCGGGCGGCAGCGGGGGCAGUGGCCGCGACACCGCCAUGCCAGGAGACGUCUCCGAGCCCCGUCCGCCCGGCCCUGCUCUCGGUGGGCACAGCGAGGGCGGGUCCCGGCUGGGAGCAGGGCCAGCGGCAGCCUCCAGGGGCGGGGCUUCCCACCCAUGCAUCUCUCCAUCCAUCCAUCCACCCACCCACCCACCGCACCGCGUUCCCAGGCCCAGGGGGAUGAUCAGUGUCGGCGGGCGGGAAAGUGACGAGGUUGACGUCUCUUGAGGCCGGAAGAGACCAUUAAAUCACCUGCCUGACCUUCCGCAUCACAGGGCCGUAUUAUUCCAUCCAGUCCUAAGGCAUUAAGCCAAAUAAUUUGUGUUCGAGUAAAAUGUGCCUACAACAGUCUCGUGGUCCUGACGGUUUCAAGAGAGGGAGAUUUUGCUCUUGUCCUGAAGAGUUUGUUGUAGCAGUUAACCCUUGGUUAAGGGAUGAGCCUCGUUUCCAUGACACGUUGCCCCUUGUUUAAAUCACUCCCAAAUGCCAGGCUUUUAUUUUGGAACCUACCAGUCCCGUUGUUGCAACUGUGGCCGCCUCAGCUUUCCCCUUCCUUUGGCACAGGUGUCGUGCCUGGUGUUAGCCCGGGUGAGAGCCCGGCCCUGCUCGGGCUGCCUGGGGUCUCCCGAAGCGCCCAAGCCCUCGAUCAGCUUCCCUGGUGGCUGCCGCAGGGAAGAGUCCCAGCACUCCCAGCCGGGUAGGCCAAGGGACACACCAUUUAAAGGCACUGCGCCUGAUCCUCUCUUACUGUGAAAUCAGCGGCCAACUCCCCUUUCCGACCAAGCCAACGCACAACGGGAGAAGGACCAGGGACCUUCUGGAGAAGCUCUGUGCUCUCUGCCGGGCAGGCAAAGCCUGGUGGUGCCUGCCUGUAUGCGGGUGGUUGGGGUGCUCUGGGCUUGGAGUAUUCGUGAAAGAGGAGAAUAUUUUAUCUGUUGAUCACCUAGGGCUGAAAAUAUUUUAUUUCUCUAGUAAAUGGUUGCUGCCCUCUGUCCUAGGGCACACUGCAGCACGAUGAAGCCAACCCCCCUGCAGAGGAGCAGGCCCCAAGCUGCUGACGCCGGCCCGAGGUAAGGGACGUGAACAGAAGCUGAGGAGCUGGUGCAGGGUCCCCGCCACACCCCAAACACCCCUCUCGCCCCUUUGCUGCUCUGGGCCAUCGAGCUGCACCUUCUGGAUUCACACGCGGGGCGGGGACAUCCGGGGGCUGCGUGUGCCGGUGCCAGCCCGGCACUCACCGUCACCGUCCCUGUUGUGACACCAGACGUGGGGGCCCCGCUCCCUGGCGGCACCGCUGAGCCCGGCAGCGCCGGCCCCGGUGACGCCGGUCCCCUCCGAGCGACGCGCCACCGCAUCUGAGCGCCAGGCAAGCGGUUUUGUCACUUGCUUUGAGACGCGUCCUGCCUGGUCUCUCUUGUUUCAUUACCCGAAAUCCCAGAGAAACCACCCGGCAGGAUCAAUCAGUCACAGGCAGCCAGACAGUUUUCUUGUACUUUAUUAAAGUGUAAUCAAACAUCGGUUAAGUGGAAAAUAAAUAUCCAGAUCUAAUAAGCUGCUCA
rnacentral:lncRNA from 1 species